CAGACUCAUAAAGUUAAUGGAUCAUAUGAAUCUAUUUCAGAAGGUAGCUGACCAACACUACCCUUUCACUUUCGGCACCAUACGUUGACAUCUGGUCAACAGAUCUGAAAGAAAAAUUCAGUCUCGGUCUAUAGAUAGGCAUAGGAUUUUGUUUUGUUUUCAGGCUAGUAUGAAUCUCAGGUUCAGUGAAGAACUGAAGCUCUCAGCUGUCAGGAGAGACAGAGUUUGAACUGAAAACCUGAUUUCUUUCUUCCUGCACUUCUGCGUUAAGAUAUGCUCCCCAUGAACCUGCUUCAAAGUUGAAUGGAGCUAAAACACGAUUUAUUUAUCUUCUGAGAAGAUUAAAUGCUUCAAAUCUUUGAUUGCAUUGAAGUCUGCUUUGCUGAAUUGUGUAUACUCUUCUAAUAUUAUGAACCCUUCCAGUGCAGCAAGUAUUGCUGGACAUACUGUGAGUUUGAUUGUUUUGCUAUCCCAGAAAACCUCAAGGAAUGUAAAGAGUCAUCUCUAUCCCCACUUGAAAUCUUUUAUUUAGGUUAUACCAUGAAAGACUCAUUUCCGUGAACACAAAGGAGCACAGAGGAACAGCAAAAGCUGGGGAACCCCGACAACUAGAUCAAGAGCUAUCCUGGGAGGGACCAGCCCCAUGGACUGGGGAUGACACUCCCCAGCCUAAGUCAACGGGAGACGCUUUCCCUGGAUCACCCUACAGACUGGCUGGCAGGGUGCAGGAUCACCAUGGGGUGCAGGGGAGGAGCAUUCUGGGAUGGUACAAGACUUUUUAGGAGAUAUUGAGGGGAAGAACCAAUGGUGAGGAAAGGGAGGGAUCAAGGUGGUUUGGAGAGG